AUCCUGCUGACGAGUCCCAAUUGGGACGAAAUGCGCAUCCUGGAU
rfam:Trichobilharzia regenti genome assembly, scaffold: TRE_scaffold0008632